CAAGCUGGCAGGGUGCGCGAUGGGUGGCUACUUGGAGACAGUGGUUAUCCACUAAAGACGUGGCUGUUAACCCCCCUCACCAACCCACAAACUGACCGAGAGCGCAGAUACAAUGAUGCCCAUUCCCGCACUCGGUCAGUUGUGGAGCGGGAGAUUGGGCAGCUGAAAUGUCGGUGGCGCUGCCUUGACAGGACCGGGGGGAUGCUGUUAUACCGCCCUGACAAGGUUUGCCGCAUCAUACUGGCCUGUGGAGUGCUGCACAAUGUCGCGCACAGGCAUGGCAUACCCCUUGGUGAGGUGGGGGCACCGCCAGAUGACCCUGACCCAGGACCAGUAUAUGUGCAGCACAAUCAACAAGCCAUUCAGGCCCGUCAACGUGUAAUUGCGACAAUAUAAAUGGUACUCAGACACAAAGUUCAUUUUUUGACCAAUUCUUUUAAUGAAUGGCUUAUUUCUGUGAGUGCGUCAGUGACAUUUUUAAGGUGACUGUUCAUUUCUUCAAUGGCCCUAACAAUUUGUUGUUGUGACUCCAGAACAGCAUGCGUCAAGACACGGCCAGAUGGACGGGCUUCAGCACUGGGGGGAACAUUAGAGACACGGGAGACGCUGGACUGAAUGGGCUCUGGCUGCUCAGGUGGUGCGGACUCUGAGUGCGUGCCAGUGGACGUUCCUGCGGUUCCUAAGUCCAAUUAAACACAGGCACAUCUUAACAGUAAUUUGAGUCUGUUCCUUUUUAAUGGGUACACGCAUUUGCAAUAAAAGCAGUGGAUACGUGAAAUCUCUGGUGUACCUUUUGCUAUAUUGCAUGCAUUUUAAAAUUAAACGGUGGCUGGCUAUGUAUAUCAAAGUUAAGGAAAUAAAUCUGAGUCACCUUG